GCCCUUAGAGUUUGAUCAUGGCUCAGAACGAACGCUGGCGGCAGGCUUAACACAUGCAAGUCGAACGAAGGCUUCGGCCUUAGUGGCGGACGGGUGAGUAACGCGUGGGAACGUGCCCUUUGCUACGGAACAGUCCUGGGAAACUGGGUUUAAUACCGUAUACGCCCCCCCAAUCAAAUUUCAUUUGAUUGGUGAGUAUCAGUCUUAUCAAAUCUCGAAUGAGGUUUGAUGGGGGGGGAAAGAAUUUCGGCAAAGGAUCGGCCCGCGUUGGAUUAGGUAGUUGGUGGGGUAAUGGCCUACCAAGCCGACGAUCCAUAGCUGGUUUGAGAGGAUGAUCAGCCACACUGGGACUGAGACACGGCCCAGACUCCUACGGGAGGCAGCAGUGGGGAAUCUUAGACAAUGGGGGCAACCCUGAUCUAGCCAUGCCGCGUGAUCGAUGAAGGCCUUAGGGUUGUAAAGAUCUUUCGCUGGGGAAGAUAAUGACGGUACCCAGUAAAGAAGCCCCGGCUAACUCCGUGCCAGCAGCCGCGGUAAUACGGAGGGGGCUAGCGUUGUUCGGAAUUACUGGGCGUAAAGCGCGCGUA
rnacentral:rRNA from 1 species